rnacentral:rRNA from 1 species
CCUCAGGAGGGGUAACCCUUCUGAGGGGAGAGCGGCGAACGGGUGAGUAACACGUGGGCAACCUGCCCCGGACACCGGGAUAACCCAGGGAAACCUGAGCUAAUACCGGAUACUCCGGCGCGAUCGCAUGGUCGCGCCGGGAAAGCUCCGACGGUCCGGGAUGGGCCCGCGGCCUAUCAGCUUGUUGGUGGGGUAACGGCCCACCAAGGCGACGACGGGUAGCUGGUCUGAGAGGACGGCCAGCCACACUGGGACUGAGACACGGCCCAGACUCCUACGGGAGGCAGCAGUGGGGGAUCUUGCGCUAAUGCGCGAAAGCCUGACGCAGCGACGCCGCGUGCGGGAAGAAGGCCUUCGGG